rnacentral:rRNA from 1 species
UAGGGAAUAUUAGAAAUGGACGAAAGUCUGAUCUAGCAACACCGCGUGUGCGAAGAAGGCCUUCGGGUCGUAAAGCACUUUUUGGAAGGAAUAGGAAGGAAUGUACUUCCAGAAUAAGUCUCGGCUAACUACGUGCCAGCAGCCGCGGUAACACGUAGGAGACGAACGUUAUCCGGAUUUACUGGGCGUAAAGCGCGUGUAGGUGGUUCUGUAAGUAGGGCGUGAAAGCUCCUGGCUCAACUGGGAGAGGCCGUUCUAAACUACAGAACUAGAGGAUGGUAGAGGGAGGUGGAAUUCCAGGUGUAGCGGUGGAAUGCGCAGAUAUCUGGAGGAACACCAGUGGCGAAGGCGGCCUCCUGGACCAUUUCUGACGCUCAGACACGAAAGCUAAGGUAGCAAACG